UACGGAGGGUGCGAGCGUUGUCCGGAAUCACUGGGCGUAAAGGGCGCGUAGGCGGCCUGAUAAGUAGGGGGUGAAAUCCUGCGGCUUAACCGCAGGGCUGCCUUCUAAACUGUCGGGCUAGAGCACGGUAGAGGCAGAUGGAAUUCCUGGUGUAGCGGUGAAAUGCGCAGAUAUCAGGAGGAACACCGGUGGCGAAGGCGGGUCUCUGGGCCGAUAUUGACGCUGAGGAGCGAAAGCGUGGGGAGCGAACAGG
rnacentral:rRNA from 1 species